rnacentral:rRNA from 1 species
UACGUAGGGGGCGAGCGUUGUCCGGAUUUAUUGGGCGUAAAGAGCGUGUAGGCGGCCUGUCGCGUCGGCUGUGAAAACCCGGGGCUCAACCCCGGGCCUGCAGUCGAUACGGGCAGGCUAGAGUUCGGCAGGGGAGACUGGAAUUCCUGGUGUAGCGGUGAAAUGCGCAGAUAUCAGGAGGAACACCGGUGGCGAAGGCGGGUCUCUGGGCCGAUAUUGACGCUGAGGAGCGAAAGCGUGGGGAGCGAACAGG